CCUACGGGUGGCUGCAGUGGGGAAUAUUGGACAAUGGGGGGAACCCUGAUCCAGCCAUGCCGCGUGUGUGAAGAAGGCCCUCGGGUUGUAAAGCACUUUCAGUGAGGAAGAACGCCUGGUGGUUAAUACCCAUCAGGAAAGACAUCACUCACAGAAGAAGCACCGGCUAACUCCGUGCCAGCAGCCGCGGUAAUACGGAGGGUGCGAGCGUUAAUCGGAAUUACUGGGCGUAAAGCGCGCGUAGGUGGCUUGAUAAGCCGGUUGUGAAAGCCCCGGGCUCAACCUGGGAACGGCAUCCGGAACUGUCAAGCUAGAGUGCAGGAGAGGAAGGUAGAAGUCCCGGUGUAGCGGUGAAAUGCGUAGAGAUCGGGAGGAAUACCAGUGGCGAAGGCGGCCUUCUGGACUGACACUGACACUGAGGUGCGAAAGCGUGGGUAGCAAACAGGAUUAGAUACCCGGGUAGUC
rnacentral:rRNA from 1 species